UGCGUUCGGUGUCCAGGCAGGUGCGGGUGCCGCGGGGCCGGAUCCUCCGCGCAGCCGAGUCCAUCUCCUGGGAAAUGGGGUGGACUGUGUUUCCUUGACCGACUAUUGUGAACUCCCUGUCUCUCCGGCGGAGCGGAGACCAUGGCCCCCACUCAGGGCCCGCGGGCCCCGCUGGAAUUCGGAGGGCCCCUGGGCGCCGCGGCUCUGCUGCUGCUGCUGCCCGCCACCAUGUUCCACCUGCUCCUGGCGGCCCGUUCGGGCCCCGCGCGCCUGCUGGGUCCACCCGCGUACCUGCCUGGACUGGAGGCGCUGUGGAGCCCACGGGCGCUGCUGCUGUGGCUCGCCUGGCUCGGCCUGCAGGCGGCGCUCCUUUGUGUGCCUCUGUUACGCCCAGGACAGACGCCGGGGGCUCUCCCUAAGCCCCUCGUCCCCACACCCUUACCCCAUUUACUGCUACUCUGUGCACCACAGCAGUGGCUGGGGUGA
rnacentral:sRNA from 1 species